rnacentral:rRNA from 1 species
UACGUAGGAGGCGAGCGUUGUCCGGAGUUACUGGGCGUAAAGGGUGCGCAGGCGGCUGUUUACGUUUGCCGUGAAAUCUCCUGGCUUACCUGGGAGGGUGCGGUGAAAACGGGACGGCUUGAGGCUCGGGGAGGGGCGUGGAAUUCCGGGUGUAGCGGUGAAAUGCGUAGAUAUCGGGAGGAACACCUGUGGCGAAAGCGGCUCACUGGACCGCAACUGACGCUGAGGCGCGAAAGCGUGGGUAGCAAACAGG